rnacentral:lncRNA from 1 species
AGAUGUUCAAUAUCCCAUUGGCGAUGUCUUUUUGGCUGCAAUUAUUAGUAGUGCAGUUUUGAUCCUAUGUUAACCUUCUAUGAAUUACCAGUCUUAAAAUUUCACAUGCAACUGCAAAUCCACUUUAUUUUUUUUAUUUUUCAUGUGGUACUGACCUCAGUUUCCAGUCGAAAGACAGAUGCAAUGGCUUCAUAUGGUGGAAACUAUCCCACUCUGAGAUCAAGAGUAACUUUGUGCAUGACUUCAUAUAUAUUUAUAGUGUAUGUAAUGGUACCCCCUUAUGGUGAACAGAUGCAAUGGCUUCAUAUGGUGGAAACUAUCCCACUCUGAUAUCAGGAGUAACUUGUGCAUGACUUCAGUUUCUCUGUUAACAUUGCGGUUCCUUGGGAUUUUAUAACUAGUUAACAUUGCGGUUCUGUGUUACCAGGAAAUCUCAGUUUCUCUGUUUUAGCAUGGUUAGAAAACUUAUUUUUUAUCCUUAUUCAUUGGCUUUGUAAAGCCAAUAUAAAGCUAGAUAUUUCAGGGUUGUACAUAUCAUUUCACGUGCGCUCCUCUCCCAUUGUUUCUGUCUUUUGGAGAAAGGGAGUAAGUGGAUGUUGGAUUGAGCUAUGUGAAAUAGCCUUGUGGGAUGUAUGCGGUCUUUAUGUUCAGUUUGUCCUUUUUAUUGGUUACUCCCCCCUCCUGGCCUCCUGAAGUCCAGGGUGUAAGUGGGUUGAGCUAUGCUUUAUUGGUUUUGGCCUUAUGUUUGGUUACUCCCCCUCCUGUUCUUCCAAAAUCCAGGGUGUAAGUGGGCUGAGCUAUGCUUUAUAUGUUUUUGCCUUAUGUUUGGUUACUGCCCCUCCUGGCCACCUGAAGGCCGGGGUGUAAGUGGGCUGAGCUAUGCUUUAUUGGUUUUUGCCUUAUGUUUGGUUUCUCCCACUCCUGGCCACCUGAAGGCCAGGGUGUAAGUGGGUGAGCUAGGCUACAUUGGUUUUGGGCCUUUUGGCCUUAUGUUUGGUACUCCCCUAAUGGCCUUCUAAAGGCUGGGUGUAAGGGGUAGGGCUAUGCUUUCUUGGUUUGGCCUUAUUUUCGGUACUCCCCCUCAUGGCCUUCUCAAGGCCAGGGUUGUAAAUGGGUUGAAACUAUGACUUUAUUGGUUUUGGCCUAUGUUUGGUACUCCCCCUCCUGGCGACCUGAAGGCCGGGGUGCAAGUGGGUUGAGUUAUGCUUUAUUGGUUUUGGCAUUAUGUUUUGUUACACCCCCUCCUGACCUCCUGAAGGCCGAGGUGUAAGAGGGUUGAGCUAUGCUUUAUUGUUUUUUUUGUGCGUCUCCGCUAUACUUCCUAGGGAAUGGUUUUAAGGUAUAUAGCUGCGUGGAAUACUGAUAGAUUGCGAUUUUAUUUUUGGGUUUUGAAGGUAGAUGUUGCAGUUAUAUGCUGAGAUCUAUUUA